AAUAUUGGACAAUGGGCUAAAGCCUGUUCUAGUCAUGCGGCUUUUUUGAAUUAGGUCUACUGUUUGUAAAGCACUUUAAGUUGGGAGGAAGGGCAGUAUGUUAAUACCUUGCUGUUUUGACGUUACCGACAGAAUAAGCACCGUCUUACAUAGUGCCAGCAGCCGAGGUAAUACGAAGGGUGCAAGCGUGAAUCGGAAUUAAUGGGCGUAAAGAGGGCAUAGGUGGUUUGUUAAGUUGGAAUUGAACGCCCCGGGAUCAACGUGGGAACUGAUUUCAAAACUGGUAAGCUAGAGUAUGGCAGAGGAUGGAGGAAUUUCCUGUGUAGCGGUGAAAUGCGUAGUUAUAGGAAGGAACACCAGUGGCGAAGGCGACUACCUGGACUGCUACUGACACUGAGGUGCGAAAGCGUGGGGAGCAAACA
rnacentral:rRNA from 1 species